CUACGGGUUGCUGCAGUGGGGAAUUUUGCGCAAUGGGGGAAACCCUGACGCAGCAAUACCGCGUGAGUGAAGAAGGCCUUUGGGUCGUAAAGCUCUUUUCUUGGGGAAGAUAGUGACGGUACCCAAGGAAUAAGCACCGGCUAACUCCGUGCCAGCAGCCGCGGUAAUACGGAGGGUGCAAGCGUUGUUCGGAUUUACUGGGCGUAAAGGGCACGUAGGCGGCACAGCAAGUUAAGGGUGAAAUCCCGGGGCUCAACUCCGGAACUGCUCUUAAAACUGCUGAGCUAGAGAUAGUCAGAGGCGGGUGGAAUUCCAGGUGUAGAGUUGAAAUUCGUAGAUAUCUGGAGGAACACCGGUGGCGAAGGCGGCCCUCUGGGGCUAUUCUGACGCUAAGGUGCGAAAGCGUGGGGAGCAAACGGGAUUAGAUACCCUCGUAGUC
rnacentral:rRNA from 1 species